GACGAACGCUGGCGGCGUGCUUAACACAUGCAAGUCGAACGGUAAGGCCCUUCGGGGUACACGGGUGGCGAACGGGUGAGUAACACGUGGGUGAUCUGCCCUGCACUUCGGGAUAAGCCUGGGAAACUGGGUCUAAUACCGGAUAGGACUCCGGACUGCAUGGUCUGGGGUGGAAAGCUUUUGCGGUGUGGGAUGGGCCCGCGGCCUAUCAGCUUGUUGGUGGGGUGAUGGCCUACCAAGGCGACGACGGGUAGCCGGCCUGAGAGGGUGACCGGCCACACUGGGACGGAGAUACGGCCCAGACUCCUACGGGAGGCUGCAGUGGGGAAUAUUGCACAAUGGGCGCAAGCCUGAUGCAGCGACGCCGCGUGAGGGAUGACGGCCUUCGGGUUGUAAACCUCUUUCAGCAUCGACGAAGCGAAAGUGACGGUAGGUGCAGAAGAAGGACCGGCCAACUACGUGCCAGCCGCCGCAGUAA
rnacentral:rRNA from 1 species